rnacentral:rRNA from 1 species
GAGACAGCAGUAGCCGCGGGAAUACGGAGGGUGCAAGCGUUAAUCGGAAUUACUGGGCGUAAAGCGCACGCAGGCGGUCUGACAAGUCAGAUGUGAAAUCCCCGGGCUUAACCUGGGAACUGCAUUUGAAACUGUCAGGCUGGAGUCUUGUAGAGGGGGGUGGAAUUCCAGGUGUAGCGGUGAAAUGCGUAGAGAUCUGGAGGAAUACCGGUGGCGAAGGCGGCCCCCUGGACAAAGACUGACGCUCAGGUGCGAAAGCGUGGGGAGCAAACAGGAUUAGAUACCCCAGUAGUCCCUGUCUCUUAUAC